rnacentral:lncRNA from 1 species
CGGCACAUGGAAGUUCCUGGGCUAGGGAUCGAAUUGGAGAUAUAGCUGCCAGCCUAUACCACAGCCGCAGCAAUGCGGGAUCCAAGCUGCCUAUGUGACCUACACCACAAGCCUGCAGUAAUGCUGGAUCUUUAACCCACUAAGUGAGACCAGGGAUCGAACCUGCAUCCUCACAAACCAGCUUAGCCACAACAGGAACUUGAUAUAUCUUCUUUUUUAGAAUUAUUGGAAUUGGAUAGUGUUUUAUUUACUUGUCUGCUUUUUUACUCAUUUGGUCAGAAAUUAUUUAUUGAACUCUUAUGUGCCAGGCUUUGUUCUAGGUGCUGGGGAGACAGCAGUGAAGACGGCCGACCAGGUCCUGCCCUCAUGGAGGCUUCCUUCUAGACAAUAAAUGGGUCGUAAACUGUUCUUCACAUACCUUGUCCUCCCUGGGUGUCUGGCCAACAGCCUAAACAAGGAAGACUACAUAGCCUUUAGUUACGUGACUCGUGUUGGGAUUGGCUGUGGAUGACAUAGCGGGAGAGAGAAGGAUAUGCAGACCCCAGAAGUUCGAGGUUAAUCUCCUCUACAUCAUUCAGUGUCAUCCCUUCGUGCUCUCAUGCUCAUUCUGCUGGACAGCUUCUCUCAAUCCCCACCGCCUCCCACAAACGCCUUGAGUUAUCCAUCUUCACUGCAGUUUACUCCACUGCAGAAGGCUUUUCUCAUUGGGAUGUAAAUGGGCCCCAAGACCUAUGCAACUGAGGUGUGGGAGGUGAGCCUCCAGUGGCCACUGGACCCUCUGCCACAUCCUCCCAGACCCCACCCUUGUGCUCAUCAGAAAGCAGACCUCGCCUGGGCUGCAACCUCCCUCUUAUUCUUUGUCUGUUUCUCCACACGAUCCUGAUGAUUUAUACCAGUUCCCACGGCUUCACUAACUUCCCACAUUAUAUUUCUUCUUGCAAAACUUGAUAACUUUCCCUUCUCCGGUGCCAUAAAUUUACCUUCUGGUAAAUACUACUGCACUCAAGAUAGAUAAUGUAAUUUUCGAUAGUGAUAAGUGAGAUGGAGAAAAUAGAGCAAAGACGAAAACACAGCUGACUGGGUUUGGUGGAUGCUCCAACAUGUGCUCAAUAAGAAUUUGUGAAUUAAUAACUUAACAAAAGCAUGAGUUUGCUAAGAAUAAAUUGAGGAGCCUGCAACUUUUCUCCUCCUUCCCACAUCAAGCUCCCCCAUCCCUCCAACUUUCUUCCCCUGGAGGCUGGAAUAAAUUAACUGGGUGACUCUUCCUCCAGAUAUGGUCCAGGUUAAGAUCCAGUGUAUUAGGGUACCAACUAAGCUGUUGUCAUAAAGAAGCCCCCAACUUUAGCCAACUCAAUAAAAUAACAGUUUACUUUUUUCUUACCUAAAAAUCGAAGAUGAGUGAGUGGUCUAAGAUGACAGGGCAGCCCUGUUCCACAGCCAUGCAGGGACUGGGGUUCCUUCCAUUUUCCUGCCACAGCAUUCUCCUAGUAUGUCACCUUCACCUCCAAGGUCAUGGCUGGAUCAUUACCUUGCCCAUGCUUUGGUCCAUAGAAGUAGGAAAUCAGCUCUUUCUUUUUAAAGAAAUGACACGUUAUACAUUCUGUUGAUGAGCACUUAAUCAGAUGACUACAACUGGGAGCAAGGGAGUCUGGGAAAUGUUGUCUAUAGCUGGGUGACCAAGUGCCCAGAUUAAAGUUAGGGAUGUGCUAUUUUUCAUAGAAAAAAAAAGGGGGUCAAGUUGACACUGGGGAACACAUCCAUACCUUUCUGAGGACCGAACCCUGGCAAAGCAACCUUGAUGCCAACUGUUCCUUGUCUCUUAAAUGACUGGUUUCUCCUUCUUCAUCUACCAAACAUCUGCUCUUCCUAUAAUGCCUAGUUCAAAUGAUCCCAUCACCAUUCAGCUUUUCAGAGCCUUUUGUGCCGAAGGCUAUAGAGGGAGUGCUGAACUCCUGCCCUUUGAAGAGUUCACUACGCGAUCCUACAGCUUAACCACUGGCACAGUGCCUGGCACUUGCUACUCAGUAAAUGACUAAAUGAAUAAAUGGCACUUCCUCAACACAUGCUGACCACCGUCAUCACUGCAACUGCUGUGACUUUUAUUCUUUUCCCAAGGUUUUCCUGGGAAUAGGCCACAUGGCAUAUCCCGGAACAAUCACAGGCUUGGGGCCAGGAAACCUGUGUUUGAAUCCUGAACCCACCACUUGCUCAAUGUGUGACCAUAAGAGUGUGGAUUACUCUCUCUCAGACUCAGCUUCCUCAUCUGUUAAAUGAGGAUAACAGUGGUGCUACCUUAAAGGUUUAUUAUCUUUACUAAAUUAUAUGAUCCAUAUAAAGUGUUUAAUGCAAUGCCUGCAAAGAGCAUUUCAGUAAAUAGUGCGUUUCAUUAUUUUGUUAUCAUCCUCAUCGGGGAAAGAUCAUCAUGUGAAUCGAUCAGGCAUUAAUUUAGCUGCGUAAUGACAGAACCUCGUAACAAAGACACCGAAAGAUAAGAGUUUAUUUGGCUCCCAAAUCAAGGAGCCCAGCGGUGGGGAGUGGGGUGAAGGUUGGGGGACACCUCAUGCAUGACCCAGGCUCCUCCUCGCUCAUCCUCAGCAACACUAGGGGGGUGACUUUCCUCUUUGUAUAUGUCCUUCCUGGCCACCAAAAGAGAACUGUACCGCUAAAGACAUGUGCAUAUUCCAAACCAGAAGUAAGAAAAAGAGUCUUGAGCCAGGCAAGCAUAUUUUUACUUAGGAAACCUAAAGCUUUCCUUGAUGCCUUAUCCUUCAGACCUCCCUGGGGUUUUGGUGAUCAGAACCCCAAAAAUGUAUUUUGUGGUCAUGCUGCAUGACCUGAGGUGUUGGUAGCUGGGAAGAGAGGGCAGCAGAUGGGGUUGGUUCCACCCCCGACAGUGACUAUGGUAACAGGUUGAAUGGUGUUCCCCACAGAUAUACAUGCAAUCCUUUUUGAUACCUGUGAAUGUGACCUUACUUAAAAAUAAGAGUUUUGCAGAUAGAGACAUUCAGGGAAAAGACACUGUGUGACAAUGAAGGCAGAGAUUGCAGUGAUGCAGCCACAAGCCAAGGAAAGCCAAGAGUCAGCAGAAACUGGAAAAAGCAAGGAAGGGUCAAGGAGACUGAAAGGAGCAUGGCCCUACCACCACCUUGAUCUCCAACUUCUAGCCUCCAGAACUGCGAUGGAAUAAAUGACUGUUGUUUUAAGCCACCCAGGUUGUGGUAUUUGUCACAGAAGCCCUGGGAAACCACUACAGGGAUGCUGUCACUCGGGGUAAAUAAAUGAAUGCAUCGUAAUAUGCCAAGGGCUAAAAUUAAGGGUUGGGUUAAGAAGACUCACUGUUUAUUCAUUCUUUAAGCAGACUCAAGAUGGAGUUCCCUUGUGGUACAGUGGCUUAGGAUCUGGGGUUGUCACUGCAGCAGCUCAGGUCUGAUACUGCGGCAAGGGCUCAGUCCCUGGCCCGGGAACUUCCACAUGCUGUGGGUAUGGCCAAAAAAAUUUUUAAAAAAUUAAUUAAAACACUUUAAGUAGACGCAAUUCAUUCAUUCAUUCCAGCCUGACCUGGGUAGCUUACCAAAGCUAAUGUCACAGCCCUCUGACUGUCAAAGGUAGGUCAGAGGGGCUGCAGCAGACUCUGUGAACCACACUCAUUUUCUUGAUAACUUUGCUUCUGGAGGUCUCCAGGGCUCUUUGCUCAAGAGAAGGUUUACUCAGCCACAUGUCAAGUGGUUGACUGCACACUGCUUAAGCUAACAUUGAGAGAGGACUCAGCCCCAACUGGCCUCUGUGCUCAGACCCGGCUGUACCCCUGGGGAAGGGGCUGGUGAUGGGUAACUGUAACCUGCAGCCAAAAGGACCCAGGACCCUGUAGGUGCAGGAACCAUUUGUGAGGAUCUGCUGAGACAACAGGCUUGGCAAACAUGUGCUAAGAGCAGACACAGGGAGAGUCAACCCAUGGGACAGGCUGGGACAAAAGGUAAAUUUUUAUGCAAGUAGAUGGACUUGAAUACAAUUAUUAUGGUUCAUCAGAAUGUCUCCCCUGCUCCGCAAAAUCUCUUUAAUGGUAAACAGUGCUUCUCCCCCAAAGUGGAUCCUUCCUCUUAUAUGUUUUUAGAAUUUAUCAAGCAAGUAUUAUGCAUCUUGCCCCAUGCAAGAUUAUACUUCUGCCUCACUACAAAAGAAAAAAGUGGGAGGGAUUUUAUAGACAGAGGAACCUAGGAAAUUGCCCAAAUCCACACACUCAGCAAAAGGCAAAGCUUGGACUCACACCUAGAUCCAUCUGAUUCUGAUUCAUGCCCAUGACUACUGAAACAAUUAUGCCAACACAAAAACUGUGCUUAAUGAGCUCGGGAAAUCCGUAUCCUUAUUCAACCUUGUAGAAUUCAAAUAAGGUAGUUCCACCAUAUUUCACAAAAACAUAUAUAUUGAUCUUCUCACAUUUAAGCUUGUUUCCCAUAAUCUUUUUCUAAAAUAUCAUACAUCUUCUGGACUGUGUGGUCCAAAGACCAACACAUGAACAAACAGAAGUAUAUGUUUCUAGAAAUCAAAAAAACCUGACUGCGAUAUCUUUACAAUUCUUUCUAGAUUAUUUUUAUUGAUGUAUAGCUGAUUCACAAUAUUGUGUUAGUUUCAGGUGUCAGGAUUCUUUAUAAAUUAUUUUUUAUGUUUAAAGACCAACAUAAACAUAAGAGAGUCAGAUUUUAAUCUGAUUAUAUUAUCAGCGAUAUCACCUCCCAUUUGAUUUCUAGAAGAAAAUACAUCUGUGCAUCACAGCUUUCCACACCCAAGGUAAAUGUUUCUGAGUACUCCACCGCUGAAUCAACUGGAGAGUUUAGAGAAUUCUGAGUUCAAAAGCCAGCUUGCCUGUGACAAGUGAAAAAUUGAUUGAGACUUGGGGUGGCAGAGAUUUUACUCAAAAAGACGAUUGCAAUAGGAAGGAUGCUUUGACUUUGGUAUCUUCAAGCAUAUCAAAAUCCAGAAGGAAAAUACUUUUCUUUUGUGGUGGGUGUGCAGUGUGAUGGGCAGGGAGGGACUUUGGGGAAGGCAGG